rnacentral:rRNA from 1 species
UACGUAGGGUGCGAGCGUUGUCCGGAAUCAUUGGGCGUAAAGAGCGUGUAGGCGGCCCGGUAAGUCCGCUGUGAAAGUCCAGGGCUCAACCCUGGGAUGCCGGUGGAUACUGUCGGGCUCGAGUCCGGAAGAGGAGUGUGGAAUUCCUGGUGUAGCGGUGAAAUGCGUAGAUAUCAGGAGGAACACCAAUGGCGAAGGCAGCACUCUGGGACGUGACUGACGCUGAGACGCGAAAGCGUGGGGAGCAAACAGG